rnacentral:rRNA from 1 species
CGCGGCCUAUCAGCUUGUUGGUGAGGUAAUGGCUCACCAAGGCGUCGACGGGUAGCCGGCCUGAGAGGGUGAUCGGCCACACUGGGACUGAGACACGGCCCAGACUCCUACGGGAGGCAGCAGUGGGGAAUAUUGCACAAUGGGCGAAAGCCUGAUGCAGCGACGCCGCGUGGGGGAUGACGGUCUUCGGAUUGUAAACUCCUUUCAGUAGGGACGAAGCGAAAGUGACGGUACCUGCAGAAGAAGCACCGGCCAACUACGUGCCAGCAGCCGCGGUAAUACGUAGGGUGCAAGCGUUGUCCGGAAUUACUGGGCGUAAAGAGCUCGUAGGCGGUUUGUCACGUCGUCUGUGAAAUCCUCCAGCUCAACUGGGGGCGUGCAGGCGAUACGGGCAGACUUGAGUACUACAGGGGAGACUGGAAUUCCUGGUGUAGCGGUGAAAUGCGCAGAUAUCAGGAGGAACACCGGUGGCGAAGGCGGGUCUCUGGGUAGUAACUGACGCUGAGGAGCGAAAGCAUGGGGAGCAAACAGGAUUAGAUACCCUGGUAGUCCAUGCCGUAAACGGUGGGCGCUAGGUGUGGGGUCCUUCCACGGAUUCCGUGCCGUAGCUAACGCAUUAAGCGCCCCGCC